rnacentral:rRNA from 1 species
CAGCCGUAAACUAUGCUCGCCAGGUGUCAGGCAUGGCGCGACCGUGUCUGGUGCCGCAGGGAAGCCGUGAAGCGAGCCACCUGGGAAGUACGGCCGCAAGGCUGAAACUUAAAGGAAUUGGCGGGGGGAGCACAACAACGGGUGGAGCCUGCGGUUUAAUUGGACUCAACGCCGGACAACUCACCGGGGACGGACAGCAAUAUGUAGGCCAGGCUGAAGACCUUGCCUGAAUCGCUGAGAGGAGGUGCAUGGC